AAGAGACGCUUAAUUACUUAUCCAGAGCGCACCGUUGUAACCGAGUGCGGUCGACAGGGGCGGCAGAGGAAGAGACCGAUGGCGAGUGGGUGCGCGGUGUCGGUCUUCGGCGGCUCCAAGUGGUUGCUCCAAUUCAAGAACCAGGAUGCUCGCGAAGGCCUCGCCAUUAGCCGCUUGCCGCCUCUUCGUCCGUCGACAAGCCUUCCUCCCUCCCUACUCCUCCGCCUCGCGAGAACCCCAGACCGCUGCCGCCUCUUCACUGUCGCAGCCCAAGAUUCCAACCCUCGGCAGCAGCAGCUGCAAGAGCUCGACGUUUCCGUCCUCCGCUUCACUUUUGGGAUUCCGGGUCUUGAUGAAUCCUACCUUCCGAGGUACAUUGGAAUCGCCUUCGGAUUCCUAAUCAUACUCAACCACGUCUUUUCCGCCUCCCCCGCUACUCCCGCUCAGCUGAGGACCGAGGCUCUUGGGAUGUGUUUGGCCGCCUUCUCGACCGCCCUCCCUUAUCUUGUGUUGGGUCCAGCCCGAAUCAAAGAAAUUAAAGAGAGAGAGAGAGAGAGAGAGAGAGAGAGAAAAAAAAAGGGGGCAAAAUGUGAGAAAAAAAGAUUAGAGUGCGCAGCGCGCAAAGAAAAGAAGAGAGAGAAAGAUUAGGUUCUGAGUUUUUUGUUUGAUGAUCAAUGGCCAAACGUUGUCAAUUUUGGCCCAAAUUUUAUGUGGAGAAUCCUUGCAGCAAACUCUACAAUCCUAACGGUGUUGAUCUACAGUUUACCUUCUCUAAGGUAUUUUUUUGCUAUAUCAAUUCUGUGAGACCUAGAAUUCUCUUUUGAGGAGAUCCAUCCUAUAUGAUAUGUUAGAGCUAAGAUCUAUGAUCUUGAUGUUAUUGUGAUCCUCUGAUUAUUCUAGAGAAGACCUAUUGUAAACAUGUUAUCAUUACUAUUGAUAGUGGAAGUUUGAGGUGGA